CACGUAGGGUGCGAGCGUUGUCCGGAAUUAUUGGGCGUAAAGAGCUCGUAGGCGGUGUGUCGCGUCGGCCGUGAAAACCUGCAGCUUAACUGUGGGCUUGCGGUCGAUACGGGCAGGCUAGAGUUCGGUAGGGGAGACUGGAAUUCCUGGUGUAGCGGUGAAAUGCGCAGAUAUCAGGAGGAACACCGGUGGCGAAGGCGGCAUCCUGGACCAUUACUGACGCUGAGGCGCGAAAGCUAGGGGAGUAAACGGG
rnacentral:rRNA from 1 species